rnacentral:rRNA from 1 species
GACGAACGCUGGCGGCGUGCUUAACACAUGCAAGUCGAACGGAAAGGCCCUGCUUUUGUGGGGUGCUCGAGUGGCGAACGGGUGAGUAACACGUGAGUAACCUGCCCUUGACUUUGGGAUAACUUCAGGAAACUGGUGCUAAUACCGGAUAGGAGCUCCUGCUGCAUGGUGGGGGUUGGAAAGUUUCGGCGGUUGGGGAUGGACUCGCGGCUUAUCAGCUUGUUGGUGGGGUAGUGGCUUACCAAGGCUUUGACGGGUAGCCGGCCUGAGAGGGUGACCGGCCACAUUGGGACUGAGAUAGGGCGCAGACUCGUACGGGAGGCAGCAGUGGGGAAUAUUGCACAAUGGGCGGGAGCCUGAUGCAGCAACGCCGCGUGCGGGAUGACGGCCUUCGGGUUGUAAACCGCUUUCGCCUGUGACGAAGCGUGAGUGACGGUAAUGGGUAAAGAAGCACCGGCUAACUACGUG